GACGUAGGGCGCGAGCGUUUGUCCGGAUUUAUUGGGCGUAAAGAGCUCGUAGGCGGCUUGUCGCGUCGACUGUGAAAUCCCGCGGCUCAACUGCGGGUCUGCAGUCGAUACGGGCAGGCUAGAGUUCGGUAGGGGAGACUGGAAUCCUGGUGUAGCGGUGAAAUGCGCAGAUAUCAGGAGGAACACCGGUGGCGAAGGCGGGUCUCUGGGCCGAUACUGACGCUGAGGAGCGAAAGCGUGGGGAGCGAACAGG
rnacentral:rRNA from 1 species